rnacentral:piRNA from 1 species
UGAGAGUGCCAUGGGUCUAAGUGGU